GACCAGCUCAGUCUUUGCAGAUGGAUACACAAACACUGAGGGAGCUUCAGCAAUAUUCCAGAGAAAAGGAGAGUCAAAAUCCCAUUUUCAAUGAAAAGAAACUGCGGUGCAAGUUAAAAGCAUACUAAAGGACCUGAUUACCUUCACCUCCUUCCUCUGGAGAACUGGACUGCAACUGAAUCUGGCUUUGCAUGUGCCAUCUCAACACUGCAUGUGGAAUGACUAGCUAGUCCUAAAGCACUACCCACGUGAGUGGAUUUUCAGUAUGUGGUAGCUGUGGGAUUGAACACUAAAUAUUCAGCUAUUAUUCUGUGUAAGACAGCUCUUAGACCCACAGAAUGGAUCACGCAAUGGUCUUCAGUAUAUUUAGGGAUACAUUCUUGUUCACCACCAACGCCAUUAGAAGUACCUAAAAAGUAACAGUCUGAGCUAUCAGUCCUGCAGGUCUUUAGUGCUUAAACCAACUAUGUCAGCAACAAGGGAUGGUGGUUUCACAACCAUCCUUUUUCACACACACCUAUUACCAGACGCACAUUCUCAUACCUGGCGUUCACAGUGUUUGCAAACCAUGUUGCUGGUGAGCCUUCCAUGAAAAGGAUGUGGAGACUUCCAGUGAUUUGACACGAGAGGAAGAGAUCCUGAAACACAAAGUGGAAAUUGUCCUUUUAUUUUCAAUGCAUCUUGUGUUCAUCACUACAAGUCUACAUUUUUGGUCCACUGUAACAAAAGUAACUGCUCUAAAACAUGUUCUGUCUCACUGACACACAAUUAAUGGGUUUUUAACAGCUGAAGAGAUGUAUUUCAGUCCAUACAGACAAAGCUCAAUCAAUAUUAACCCCUUAAUAAACACAGUGACUACACUAUGAAUAUUCAUGUCAGAAUGGAAAAAGGCAUACCUCUUGUUCUGCAGCUUAUUUGCUUUUGGGUUAUUUCUGGCUGCUACAGAGGAAGAUAAAAGAUUUCAUUAACCCUACCUUAGAAAGCACUGAGCAUUAAAUAUGUUCUUAUUUCAUCCCUAAUACACUUUUCUGCCAUUAGAACAAUUGUGUGGGCUUAGUGUCUCUAUGUAUUUGAUGAAGGCCAGAAAACCAGGUACACAGCAAACUUGUAAUUGACAAAAAGAACAAUUCUAGUGAAGUGAAUACUUAGGCUACAGAAUCCUCAGUCUUGGAGUAUAAAAUAAAGCCAUUUUUAUAAC